rnacentral:lncRNA from 1 species
CAGGAAUACAUCCCAGCCCAGCUGUAUGGAACUAUGGCUGGCUCAGCUUGGCUCAACCUGAUUGGCCAGCACAGGCAGCAGACCCAGGCGCUCAGCCCCCACCAGGCCCGUGCCCAGUUCCUGGAGCUGCAGCAACAUUGCUGUGCCAGCCCCCUGCAUCCUAGCUGUCAACCACAAUGGCCUCAACUUCCUCAGCACCGAGACCCAUGAGCUGAUUGUGAAGUUCCCUCUGAAGGAGAUCCAGUCUACACGGACCCAGCGGCCCACAGCCAACUCUAGCUAUCCCUAUGUAGAGAUCGUGCUGGGAGAUGUGGUGGCCCAGCGCAUCAUGCAGCUGCAGCUGGAGCAGGGUCUGGAGCUGUGUCGUGUGGUGGCUGUGCAUGUGGAGAACCUGCUCAGUGCCCGGGAGAAACGGCUCACACUGCCCCCCAGUGAGAUUACCCUGCUCUGACAUGGCCUCUAGCCCUCCAGGUACCUUCUGCUAGAAGACUCUGUGUGGCCUUAGGGAAGCCACUGGACCUCUUUGAACUGGUGACUCCCCGGAAGGGGCAGAACCUUGAAGGAAAGCACAGGAGGAAGGAAGAGCAACCCACAAACCCAAGAGAACUGAUCCAGAGUUGGGUUAGAGUAACAGCAUGCAGAUAGGAGAAACUCUCAAAGGCUGGCCCACAGUACAGGAACUCAUAGGCCUCCUGCUGGGUGCCUGCCACAGACCCUGCUUCUGAUGCCCCUAAGGCAGGGGAAGCCCACAACCCUGCAUGUGGUUUACUCAGGGCCUGAUGUUUGAAUCUACACCAGCGUCACCUCCCAGCCCCCAAUGUCUUCCUCAGGUGUGUUGAACCUUGUGCUGCCUCUCAACCUAGACCUGUGACCCUUGGUAAUUUCUGUUCCUGGUAGCCACUUCCUCCAUGAUGUUGCUAAGUGGCCAGACAACAAGCCAAGGUAGGAGGCAGGAAUUGGAAGCAGAGCUGUGCCCUACUCACUAUGAUCAGCACUUCAAGAGAGACAUCUACCUUUGUUCUCCCUGUAAUGUCUGUCCCUCUACUCUGCACUCCUUGGGUAGCCCCCAUCCCCCAUGCCCCCACCACUGGAUGAGCCACACAAGGUUCAAGAGUGGUAAUAAGGAGAAAGAGAAGUUUGGAAAAGAACUUCCCAGAGAUGAUACACUAGGGUUGAGUUUUGAAGGAUGCCUAGGAGUGUCUUAAGAAUAUAGAUGGAAAGAGGGCCAGAGAUUUAGCUCAGUGGUGCUGCUGCCUGCCUUGCAUGCGCCCAAGUCCCCAAGUUCAAUCCCUGGUACCAAACAAAACAAAACAAAAACAAAAUAGAUA